rnacentral:lncRNA from 1 species
UUCUAAGCAAACAAAAUGGACUCAAUUUGGAUAAACUUUGCACUCAAGAAAACAGUUUUUGGUGGGCAACCUAGCAAACCGGAUAACAGAGAUAUACCUUGUGCAGUUUUUAGGUAAUAGUUUUUUCUUUUAAAAAAUUGUGUCCUUCUGUUUUUAAUGAUAACUAUUUUCUAUGGUGGAGCCACAGUUAACAGUAAAUUGUAUGCCCAAGGGCUUUAGAAUCAUAUGAAUUCUUGUUUACCGGUUCCUACAAGGUGAAGCUUAAUGUUCAUAAUGCCAGCUGAUAUUAUGUAACUUGGACUUAUACUGCUUUUGUGUUCUGUACGUAGAGCAUAUAAUAUAGUACUCUCCAUUUCCUUCUAGUUUGACCAUCUUUUUGUUCAGAAAAUCACAUUAUUUUAGGUGUCUUACGCAAGGCAUUGCUAUUGCUUUUGGCCUUCAAGCUAUAGUACUCUGCAUUGUUUGUUUGGCUAGUGUUAGCAACUGAAACAAUUAGGAAACAUCAUUUGAUUACUGUUGGGCAGCUGAUGGUGCUGUGAUCAUUUGCUUCACUUCUGGGAAAAGAUAUCCUGGAAAUCAACCAACCCAAAAGUUCUUUCGGCAUAAAGACCAGAGUGAUAUG